rnacentral:rRNA from 1 species
CCUACGGGUGGCUGCAGUGGGGAAUUUUGGACAAUGGGCGCAAGCCUGAUCCAGCAAUGCCGCGUGCAGGAAGAAGGCCUUCGGGUUGUAAACUGCUUUUGUCAGGGAAGAAAUCCUCUGGGUUAAUACCUCGGGGGGAUGACGGUACCUGAAGAAUAAGCACCGGCUAACUACGUGCCAGCAGCCGCGGUAAUACGUAGGGUGCGAGCGUUAAUCGGAAUUACUGGGCGUAAAGCGUGCGCAGGCGGUUGUGCAAGACAGGUGUGAAAUCCCCGGGCUUAACCUGGGAACUGCACUUGUGACUGCACGGCUAGAGUACGGUAGAGGGGGAUGGAAUUCCGCGUGUAGCAGUGAAAUGCGUAGAUAUGCGGAGGAACACCGAUGGCGAAGGCAAUCCCCUGGACCUGUACUGACGCUCAUGCACGAAAGCGUGGGGAGCAAACAGGAUUAGAUACCCCAGUAGUC